AACGCACAUUGCGCCCGGCAGUAUUCUGCCGGGCAUGCCUGUUCGAGCGUCAUUUCAACCAUCAAGCCCCAGCGCUUGUGUUGGGGGCCUGCGGCUGCCGCAGCCCCUCGAAAGCAGUGGCGGGCUCGCUAUCACACCGAGUGCAGUAGUUCAUCUUCUCUCCGGUUCUUGUGAGGCGGGCGCCGGCCGUUAAACAUACCACUACAUUCAAGGUUGACCUCGGAUCAGGUAGGAAUACCCGCUGAACUUAA
rnacentral:misc_RNA from 1 species